CCGUUGCUCACCAUGUCUUCUCACAAGACUUUCAGGAUCAAGCGACUCCUGGCCAAGAAACAGAAGCAAAAUUGUCCCAUUCCCCAGUGGAUUUGGAUGAAAACUGGUAAUAAAAUCUGGUAUAACUCCAAGAGGAGACAUUGGGGAAGAACCAAGCCGGGUCUAUAAGGAAUUGCACAUGAGAUGGCACACAUGUUUAUGCUUCAUCAUGGUCACCAUCAAUGUACCAUUAUCAAGUUGAAACGCUCCACAAUUGGAAAAUUGAC